rnacentral:rRNA from 1 species
GGAUUAGAUACCCUGGUAGUCCACGCAGUAAACGAUGAGUGCUAGAUGUUGGGAAUUUUAUUUUCAGGAUCGCAGCUAACGCAUUAAGCACUCCGCCUGGGGAUUACGAUCGCAAGAUUAAAACUCAAAGGAAUUGACGGGGGCCUGCACAAGCGGUGGAGCAUGCGGUUUAAUUCGAUGAUACGCGAAAAACCUUACCAACCCUUGACAUAUUGGUCGCGGAGAGUAGAGAUACACUCUUUCAGUUCGGCUGGACCAAAUACAGGUGUUGCACGGCUGUCGUCAGCUCGUGCCG